rnacentral:rRNA from 1 species
UUAACACACGCAAGUCGAGCGGUAACAUGACUAGUAGCAAUACUAGUUGAUGACGAGCGGCGGACGGGUGAGUAACACGUAGGAACUUGCCCAGUAGUGGGGGACAACCAAGGGAAACUUUGGCUAAUACCGCAUAUUCUCGAGAGAGGAAAGCUGCCGCAAGGUGGCGCUAUUGGAGAGGCCUGCGUCCGAUUAGCUAGUUGGUAGGGUAAAAGCCUACCAAGGCGAGGAUCGGUAACUGGUCUGAGAGGACGACCAGUCACACUGGGACUGAGACACGGCCCAGACUCCUACGGGAGGCAGCAGUGGGGAAUCUUGGACAAUGGGGGCAACCCUGAUCCAGCGAUGCCGCGUGAGUGAAGAAGGCCUUCGGGUCGUAAAGCUCUUUAGGCUGGGAAGAAGGUUGGUAGUUUAAGAGGUAAUCAAUUUGACUGUACCAGCAGAAUAAGCACCGGCAAGCUCUGUGCCAGCCGCCGCGGUAA